AUUCAGCUGACUGCCCAUCAGUACACCGAAACUUUUUAAAAUUUUAAUUGCCAAAAGGCUGUCUGAAAAGUGGCCUACAAAAGGGAAAAGACUGGUGAUGAUGCUCAGAUUGCUCUGCCUAUUUUCUUAACUCAGGUACUGAGGUUUGGAUCCAUAUUCUUUUACCCCAUUCAUAGACUCUUGAAUAUCUCAGGGGGAUGAGGCACAUUUUAGUUAUGCUGACUGAGCUUAUAGAUAUCCACUGCCUUCCACUCCAUAUGGAGUGAAUAGCAGACCAGAAAGCUUUUUCUACCUAUCUUAAGGCAAAUAUAAGCUGAGGAAGUAGAAUGUAAGUAUAAACAUGCAAACAGCUUGGAGAAGACUGAGAAGGGAUCUUUUUGAUGCUUAUAAAUGUCUACGAGGUGAAUAUCAAGUGGGUGGUGCCAGGCUCUUUUCAAUGGUGCCCUGUAACAGGACUAGGGGGAAUGUGCACAGACUAGAACACAGCAAGUUCCAAACAUAAGGAAAAAUUUAUUUUCUUUGAUGUUUACAAAGCACUGGAACAGGCUGCUCAGAGAGACUGUGAAGUCUCCUUCUCUGGAGAUAUUCAAAACCUGCCUGGAUGCUUUCCUGUGUAACCUCCUCAAGGGAACCUGCAUUAGCAGGGGGUUGGACGUGGUGAUCUCCAGAAGUCCCUUCCAACCCCUAAAAUUCUAUGAUUCUUUGAUUCUUCAAAGCAUCCCAUAUGGUGCUGUGCUUUCCUUUUGUGGAUAAAAUAGCUCUGAUAACACAAUACCAUUUUGGCUAUUGCUAAAUAGUGCUUGCAUAACAUCAAGGCUGUCUCUCUUGCACUUUUGCCAUCCACUGAAUGGACAAGGGGUGUUUGAGAUGUUAGGAGGAGACAUAGCCAUGCCUGUUGACUGCAACUGAUGAAAGGAAUGUUUCAUAUCAAAUGGUCAUGCUCAGCAAUUAAUUCUUAGGGAAAGGAAGAGGGGCAGCACUUGUGCCUUUAACAUUUGUCUUCCCAAGGAGACAUGAUGCAUGCUGAGAUCCUGCUUUCCAGAAAUUGAAUGCAAUUAUGCCUGCUUGUGAGAAGUAGAGAACUCCUUUGGUUUUCUUCUGUGCACAGUUUUUAUUUUCCCUGUAAACUGUUUGCAUUUCAAACUGUAAGUCUUCUCCCUUUUCAUUAUUUUCUUCCAAUACUGUGGGAGAGAGGAGUAAGCUAGAAGCUGGGAGGGUGUUGGUCAGGAUCAGCCUGACAGUGUUGUGAUUUUUAACUAAUCGGUAAAAUAUCCUGUGCCUGAGGAAUGGCAAUACCUCUAUUCAGAAAUUGAAACAAAACAAAACAAAACAAAAAAACCCAAUAUAGACAUGCAAAAAUAAAUAAAUAAAUAAAUAAAUAAACACUUUUUCCAGGCAAGUAUUACUCUGUUAGCUUGGCUACAUUACUGUUUUAAGUCAGACAAUACAUUUUGAAGGAAAGCAAAAUUCAGAACAGGACCCUAAAUAAAGAGUAUGACACAUUUUCAGCAGUAUUUUAUGAAGGUUAUGUUGUAUCAAAUAGUGUCUUCUUUUAUAGUAGGAACUGAUAGACGACUUAGUGCUGCAGAGUUAAUGUAUUUAAAUUGAGGUAUAGAAAUUAGUUCCCCACAGGAGAUUUCAAGCACAAAUGUCAGGAUUAAAAAGCUACGAACCAGAGAACAUACCUGGAAGAGGAGAUAGGUGAGAGGUUUUGUUUAGUUUAUGAGCUAGAGUAGCUGGAAGUUUCUACUAAUACAGAAGGUGACAGGGUCAUUGUGUAGGAGGCAUUAAAUGACAGUGUUGACUGGUGUAAAAUAGAAUGAAAUUAAUAGCACAAAGAAUUUUCAGUCCUGCAUUUUCUCUGUUGUGUGUAGAGAUGUACAGGUUUUCCAUGUUUUCACUUCUUAAAGCAAACACCUUAAGAAGAGAGUAUGAUGGCAUUUCAAACACUUUAGGAGGAUAAACAUCAAGAUACGGAUGAACUACUUAAGUUACAAAAUAACACCAGCUCCAGAUCAAAAAAAGUUAUAAAUUAGUCAUAAAUAUAUUUUGAGUGCAAAUGAGAAGACAGAUUCUAACCAUAUGAAGAGUGAUAUUCCAGAAGCAUUCGAAUAAGAUAAAAGAAAUGUGAAUGAUCUCACGUGAAGUUUGAUAUGUUUAUGAAAGGGGUGAAAAGAGGUAAGUAUGUAAGAAAAGGAGUAAGAGGUAAAUAUACACUGUGAGACUUCAGAUAGCAAAUCUACACCUGGAUUUAGGGACUAGGACACUGAUGUUACAGUCAGAAAAUAUUGUAAGAAGAUAUUAAUCUCUGUUGAGAGUAGAGUGUGGUCUUUCUCCUCAGUCAGUCUAGAUUUAUUAGGCAAGUCUCCCAGUUUGUAGGGACUUGGGACAUUAGCAAUAAUUAUAAUCUAUUCUGUCUUCCUGUGAUAUGUUAGAUUUGUGACUGUGGUCUUUUACUGCAGGUCUAAAUUGUUUUAUAGGAUAUUAGGAUAUGCUUCAUGGCCAUUGCAGGGAUAUGUUAAAUAAAGUAGAUAUCUUGUGGAUGCUUCUAAACCAGAUGUAUGGUUGUUGGCAUAUGCUUACUAAGGUCACUGUUGCAAGUUCUGUCUUCUAUUCCUCUGUUCUUUUUAGCGCAGAAGUUCCUCAACUCUAUCAACCUCUGCUAAACUUAUCAUCUGUCAAAAACAGUUGCAUGUGAUCUAAUUGUUUCCUG
ensembl:lncRNA